AUAAAAAAUAUCCUAAACUUAAAUACAUUGGCAGUCAUAAUUCUUUCGAGGAACUCGCCCGAUAAUCGUCAACACUCGCUUAAUUUAACCUUAAAACUAUCCUAGUCUAUAUACCGCCGUUCUACAGAAUAAAUUUUUCUUUAAAACCAACUUUUUUCAAAAAUCAGGUCAAGGUGUAGCUUAUAUUAAGGUCACGGUAAGUUACAUUAUAAUAAUAUUAGGACUAAAUCUAAAAAGACAUAUAAAAGAGAAUCUAAAACUACAAAAUUAAUAAUAAUUUAACUAGAAAUAUAAAUUAAUGAUGU
rnacentral:rRNA from 1 species